CUACGGACUUAGAAAGCUGAGCCUUACAGGAGAAAUCUUGUAAGUGAAUGCUCUCAAACUCAGGGAAACCUAAAUCUGAACUUUCAGACAAGGCAAUCCUGAGCCAAGCCAAGUCAUAGAUGAUUUGGAAGGUGCAGAGACUCGACGGGAGCUACCCUCACGCUACUCAAAGCUAAUCCUUGAAGUAUGGCGCGGGUAAAGGGAGAGUCCAAUUCUCAAAACCACAUUGGCAG
rnacentral:ncRNA from 1 species